CUCAGGUUGGGGCUGGAUUUGGAGAUGGGUCUUUAAAGGAGUAAUUGAGGUUAAAUGAGGUCAUUAGGGUGAGUCCUGAUCCAGUAGGACUGG